ensembl:snoRNA
GCUGAGGCUAGAGUCUCGCCCGGGCAUGGUGUUGCCCCGGUGUGCUGGAGUCCUCAGAGAGCAGCUGCUGGCCUUAUUCGCUGGCUGUGGCCCCGUGGCCGAGCCAGUCACCAGGCCAGGGACAGGC